rnacentral:rRNA from 1 species
AUAUUGGACAAUGGGGGCAACCCUGAUCCAGCCAUGCCGCGUGUGUGAAGAAGGUCUUCGGUUUGUCACGCACUGUAAGUUGGGAGGAAGGGCUUUAGGUUAAUACCCUGAAGUCUUGACGUUACCAACAGAAUACGCACCGGCUAACUCAGUGCCAGCAGCCGCGGUAAUACAGUGGGUGCAAGCGUUAAUCGGAAUUACUGGGCGUAAAGCGCGCGUAGGUGGUGCAGUAAGAUGGGUGUGAAAACCCCGGGCUUAACCUGGGAAAUGCUUUCAUAACUGCUGAGCUAGAGUACGGUAGAGGGUAGUGGAAUUUCCUGAGUAGCGGUGAAAUACGUAGAUAUAGGAAGGAACACCAGUGGCGAAGGCGACUACCUGGACUGAUACUGACACUGAGGUGCGAAAGCGUGGGGAGCAAAC